GACAAUUGAAACAGGAUUUAUUAGUUUAUUAAAAUCAGAGUCGGCACUUGGGAUAAUUAAUGUUGUCCCAAGUUACUGGUUCAAAUACCGAAUCGAGAAAAAAUUUGACUCUGAUAUGCAGUCUGCAAACACAAAAAUCCGGGUAAUGAAUUAUGUUAACCCGGGAGAAGGUGUUAGGCAUUUCCGGGUUCCGUGGUUCUACCACGACCGCUUUGAUUAGACUUGGCUUUUCAAAAUUGCUUAAUUACUCAUUUUAGAACCUGUGUGCCCUUUACCGCUUUUAAAUUAAAAACAACUAUCUUGAAAUGUGUCACGCGUACAUGUACCUAUUUGUUUAUCACAUCAGAAAUCUUCUCAUACGAAUGUGUCCACAAUUAUAACGCUUUAUUUUUAUUAAAAGAAAUUGGGCCAAAGUUGCGCGAAUGCAUACUCCAGUUUUGUUUUUAGAAUCGCCAUCAUGUCACGCGAACAUGUCCACAACCGCGAUAGUAUAUUAAAUGGCCCAAAGGUUUUUCUACGAAUAUCCUCAUUAAUAACUAAUUAAAGUGUUUGUGAGGGCCGUAGAAAUUUUUUAAACAACGCACCUCGAUCUCUAAGAAUUUUAAAAGAUUAAUUAAAUGCGGGCCACACAUUUGAGAUUUUAUCUGGCGCGACGCACCUCAUUACCGAUUUAAAAAGAGGAACUCAAACUAAAUUUCGAAGGGCUACAAACUAUUUGUGUUAUCUAAUAUGGCUCACCUCCAUUAUUUGAAAGAACAUAGUUAUCUAAAUAUUAAAGGAGUUGGGUUUCUACUUAUUGUAUACUACUGUUAAGUUUAAAAAAACUUAUGAGCAACCCACGUCUGAUUGUGAAGGACUUUGAGCUGGUCGCAAGCCAAGGACUAACCAUCCUUUACUAUAAGUCAACAUAAAGACCAAACAAGCCCACAAUGAAGCCCAGCACGGAGACCAAGUCGCUGAAAGUGAAAACCAAUACAAUUGAGCCAAAAGCUGGUAGCCCAAUAUACCCACUUAAAAAUUAAUUCCAUGAGUCAGCAUUGAAUGUAAAAUUAACUUAACAUCUUUUGUCGCAUGGCAAUCUAAGAGAACAUCACUACCCUAAGGAAGAUCAAAAUUCAACUGAGAAAUGAUUUGAGAAACUUAUUAACAUAUAACCAAGGCCCAGCAUGCUUUUCUAUGCGAACAAACGAGUAUGUGCUACCUGAAAUUUACUUUUGGUUCAUUUUGUAAUUUCACAUGGAUCACUACUGAUCUCAAACCCACGUAUGAAUAAAUAUCCACCAACCAAAUAAAGCCAAAAUCAGACCCAAAAUGCAGGACUAAUAUUUCCAAAUGUGACAAUCAUCAAAACAUUUCUUGUCUUUACUUAUGUUAUCCAACACAACAGUAGGCUUCAUUUACACUUGAAAAUCAACACAAUGGUAUCAUACAGCCUAUAGAUUAGUCCCUGAUGAUAUCCAUAUUUCAAUAAUGACAAAAGUUCAGCUAUUGCAACUAAUAUUCAGCAUAUAUUUUUAACAACUAAACCUGAAAGUGCAUACCAGAUCUCCAUCUGCAGCUUAUACUAACAAUAUUAAAAUUCCUAUGACUUCAGUAAUCAAAGAAUCCAUUCAAACUAAGUAGGCUACCAUUAACUCGAAUCAACAGAACCCACAUCUUAUGCAUAUUAGAUACAUAGGAACUUAAGCAAACUUAAUAUUCAGUAUAACAAACUAAGAUUUACAGAGAGAAGGAAUUCAAAUAACAAGCUAAUCAUAUGAACAGCACACAAGACUAAAAUGUCAACUCCAAACUUCUAUUUUUCAUAUUACUUUCAACUUGAAGAUCACUUAUACAGGUUUCAGAAUAUGUACCUGGAAAUUGCACAAAAAGGAAAAGAAGUGACGGACUAGCAAUAAAAUAGUAGCCAGCAAACCAGCAACACCAGUUCCAACGAUUAAAAACCUAGGAAAUCAACUCAGCAAAACCAGUGAAAGAUUAACCCCCAAUCAAAAAACAUUAAUAACCAAAUAUCAAUCCAUUUGAAUAUCAGAAUAGGUACUAUUGUUUUUCAGAAGUAAAGAAAAUCACUGAAAUUCAAUCGAGGAGUAGAACUUUUGGCCUUUUUGUAUUUUUCUGGAAUUCUAUCUCUAAUUUUCUCUGCCUUGAAAGGCAAGAAUAAGGUGCCUUUAUAGGAAAGCAAAUAGAGCAUACCUAAGAGUUCAAUUUUCACUUGUCCCUUUCUAAUUCUUAUUUUGGCUUAGGUGUCCCUGUUUGAUUUUCUAUCAUUCAAAAUAACUCAUUCCCCAACUUCCUAGAAGUUUCCUAGUUAAGAAAGAUUCAUUCUAUCAAAUCUCCCUAAACUACCCUUCAAGAAGUUGAUAUUUACCUUCACAGAAACUCAGUUUAUGGGUCAAAUUAAACUAAGACCCCACCCAACCCAUGGGCUUGCAUACUACAACCCAAACUGAAUUUCCAAACCUUGAACUUAACCGAAACUUUUAAAGAAACAAACUUCCGAAUAUUUUAAACAGAAAAAGAUUUCAAUAGAGAUGCUUGGGAAACAGUAAUUCAAAGCAAUUAAAUCAUCCAUUUAAUCAAAUUAUACUAAGAUACUAAUAUGCUAAUUCCCAUUUUAUUAAACACCAAACUAAACCUGAAUGGAAAAGGGAGAAGACUCAAAAUCCUAAUGACCUAAGGUAGUUCAACUUAUUACUGUUAACAAACUUAAAGUUAGCAGCCUAAAUCAUGAAAUUAAAUAAGAAAUAACACUCGUGAAGAAAGAAACCAAAAAAAAUGAAGCGAAGAUCAGAGAGAAACAAAACAAUCACAAAGAAAAAAAGAAUUACCCCCAUACCUACAUUGGAUAGACCCUUGUAUGAACUUGAACCUUUGACCAACCAAGAAAGUAACAAAGGGAAGAACCUAGGGCUUUUUCAGACCCCUGCUUCAACGUUGAAAGUCCUGGGCUGCUUUGAAAAGAAACGAAAGCUCAGUUCAGGUAGAAAAGGGUGAGGGAUUGCAUGGUGCAAGUUUUGGGUAGAAUUAGGACUUUUAGGGUGUUGGUUCUAGAUCUAAAAUUCGAGGAGCUUAGUGAUAGUUUUAAAUAAACGAGCUGGGGAUUCGGGACGAGGAGAUGGAGGGGAUUAUGCGAUGUGAAUUUAGGCUUGAUUGGCUGUCGGCCGCCACCAUGGGAAAUUUCCGGCAGGCAGCGGUCGAAGGGCGGAGAUCGGCAGACCUUCAGGGUGUGAUAGGGAUGAGAGAUGGGGAGUGGGGUGUCGUUAAGACAUAUAUACAUCUCCUUAGUUUAGAACCGUUAAUGUGAUGAGAUCUAAC
rnacentral:lncRNA from 1 species